GCGAGGUACUUGUUCUUCGCAAGGUGGUCCUCGUAGAUGUCGAGCACCUUGGCGAGCUGGUGCGCGUGCUUGUCCACCACCAGCGGGUCGGGGGCGCCGCCCAUCAUGGGCUUGACGAGGAGGUGGUACACCAGCGGGGAGGCGUUGGGGUAGAAGUGGUGCGACUCCACCUCCAGCCACACCUCCAGCUUCGCCGACGGGAUGGUCGGGAGGAGGUCGGCGCCGUCCGACUUGUACUUGGUCGCGAUGUACCGGUUGAUCGCACGGGACUCUGCAUGCGAUGUGUUCUCAGAACUUCAGAUUCGGAAAUUUGGUGACUCAUCAUAAGGCUGACACGCGCGAGCAUCAACGCCAACAGAGGUUGGAACAGAUGGACAGCAGCAGUAGAAUUCAGUCUCGUUUUGAUCAAAUCAAUUCUACGAGUGGAAACGUGAUAGGUUGUUUGAGCUGUUAUGCAGCUUAGCACCUACUCCACGGGAGGAAAACGACAUUGAUGUGUACAGCCUGGAGAUAUUUUUGCUUUCUGAUGAAUGAAAUCCAAGCGGGUCAACCAUCUUUUUUUUUUAAAAAAAAAGGAACGACCAAGGUAUAACGAAGAUACUGUUCCUAGAUCUGGGGAUGGAUCUAGUGCUUCAUUUUUUAAAAUGACCGAGUAGUUCCUAAUAUAAUCAACUACUAUACGCACGGGAAGAACGAGCAGUGAUGUCAGUUACGUACCGUAGAGGACUUCAUCCCCGUCCUCCAGCGCAGGGAUCUGGCCGAAAGGCUGCGAACAGGGAGGGAAGCCAUAGAUCAGGGGACAGCAAAAUCACAGGCAUGCCGUGCCGCCUGCAGCGUAAGAAAUUGAAAUCGAAGGAGGACAGGCGCGUACGUUGAGGGCGAGGAACUCGGGCUGCUUGUGGGCGCCGGUGGUGAGGUCGACGGGGACGACCUCGAAUUCGAGGCCCUUCUCGUUGAGCACGGUGGCCACGCGCACCACGUUGGGGGACAGCGGCAACCCGUACAGCUUCAGCGGUGCCAUCUCCCGAACCUUUCCUCCUCCUCCGAUCCGCUCCUCUCUCUCGUCGUUGGGCAAG
rnacentral:lncRNA from 1 species